UACGAAGGGGGCUAGCGUUGCUCGGAAUUACUGGGCGUAAAGGGUGCGUAGGCGGGUCUUUUAAGUCAGAGGUGAAAUCCUGGAGCUCAACUCCAGAACUGCCUUUGAUACUGAGGAUCUUGAGUUCGGGAGAGGUGAGUGGAACUGCGAGUGUAGAGGUGAAAUUCGUAGAUAUUCGCAAGAACACCAGUGGCGAAGGCGGACUCACUGGCCCGAUACUGACGCUGAGGCACGAAAGCGUGGGGA
rnacentral:rRNA from 1 species